rnacentral:lncRNA from 1 species
CCAGAACCCAGUGACCUGGGAGCCUCAGGGAGCCCAGCCUCCCUUCUCGGAGCCCCCCCCCCCCAUUUCACUGGAGAUGUGGCCUCAGCCUGGAUCUGUCCAUCGCUAGGCCCCGCCCCCAUGUCUAGGAAAAACCACCGCUUCUGAAGGAGGCUGGGAACGAGGCCCCUCUGCUCCUCCCACCAGGCAGCCCCCCUGGCUUGCCUCCAAGCCUCCCAAACCAGCUGCAUCUGUUCUGAGCUGGAGACCACAGGGGCCAGAGCUUGGCAGAUGCCCCCCUGGGAUCCUCUGACCCCCAGGGUUCCUUCCCAGGCAGGCCUGCGCCUUCACCUCACCAUCCCCCCCAGCCUGCUCGGAGGAAAGAGCAGUGGUGCAAAAUUCAGUUGGGGAGAAAAACAGGAAGUGGAGCCCGAGAGCAAAGCCUGCAGUGGCUCUCCCCAGCCUCUCCCCAGCGAAUGCGGCAGCCCCUUCCACCCGCAGCCUUACAGGAAAGUGGCGAGGGGACAGCCCCAGCCCGAGCGGUCGGGGCACGGCGGGGGAGUGGAGUGCAGGCGGACAGUCCAGUUGAGCCCCUUGGGCUGUAUUUUCAGGCCCAGCAUUGCCUCUGUGAUCUGCAUUUUACAUCUGCGCUCACCAGCUCACAGCAGCUCCUCAAGGUGUCGCCAAACCUCGUGCUCUGCACCACCAUCAAGGGGCGGGGCUCUGAGUUUCACUCACCCAUUCAGCACGUGUCAAAGGCCACCAGACACGGUCCUGUGACCCGAGGAUACUGUGACAAACGUCCCUGCGUCCAGGACAUUCAGGUGGGGGCCGGGGCAGAUGGUUUAGAGAUAAGAAACAAAUACAUUGAUAAUACCUUGCGAGGUGGGUGGUACUUCGGAGAGCAAAGCAGGGUAGGGGGUCAGCAGACCAGGUGUCCCCCUCACCCUGCUUGGGCUCCACAUCCCACCCCCACCCCCACCCCACCCCGUCAGGCAGCUGCUGUCCUCACCCCACAUGUUCCCUUUCUGACUCUCUGGGUUACUGACCCCAGGCAAGGAUUCCCUCUCUUUUCUCAUUCCCUCAGGCUCUGAUACCUCCUCACCCGGCCUGGGGUCCGACACCCUCACCUGGCCACCCAGGCGAGCUGCUGGCGGGUCCUUUUCUUCCCCCUACCCCCUGCCCUGUGCCCUUUGGACUGGAUUGUAAAGGAGGAAAGGGAAGGAAGGGGAGGAGGCAGAGAGCGUAGUAGUCCCUCAAAUGGAUAUUUUGAAAAUUUCAAACCCUCCUAAAAGCAGAAAGAGUAGCUCAGUGAAUGCCAUACACCCUAAAGAAAGGUGUCUUCCAAUAACGGAGGAACGGUCUGGUGGGAAAUGGUGGGGUAGGGGUAGGAGCGGGGCGAUCGGGUGCCGGUGGAGGGGCCAGCCCUGGAGGGCUGUGUGGACAGUCCAGCCACAGGCCGGAGGGCAGGGGCAGGGAAGUUUGUCCACAGGCGGGUGCUAUAACCUGCGAGUCCAUCCACCUCUGGCCUGGGUUUUGUGGGUUUUGUUCUGUGCAGUGGGAAGCAAGCUUAUUGGCUGACAGAGGAGAGGGGGAGGAGAUGCUGAGAAUAAGGGUGGGGGGAAGUGAGGGUGUUGGAAAGUCUCCCCAGGAGCCCCAGGCACACCCCCAGGAGUGGAGUUGCAGGGCUGCGGGGCUGCAGAAGGCCCCUCAGGAUCUGAUGACCAUGCAGACAGUGGGACCCAAAGUGAGACCCAAACUCGUGCCUGCUUGUCUCCCGAUGUUGGGCUUUGGUCCCAGUGGGUCUGCACCUGCCCCUCCAUCUUCGGCUGCUGCCCCUGCCCACCUGUCCUCACCCAUGGAACAGCUGCUCGUUCCGAACACCUAGCCCAGUUACCUGUCCCCUAGCGACAGGGGCCCGCGUCCCAGGCUCCCCAUCUUUGGCGUUGGGGCCGAGCGGAGUGAGCUGGGUAAGCUGGAGGAGAGGCACAGGGACAAACGGUCUAGCCAAGUGCCGCCUGGAGGGCUUCCAAGAUCCUGGCACAACCAGGCUGGUUCCUCACCUCCCCCUGCCCAGGGCCUCUCUGGCUGAUGCUGGUCUGAGCUGGAUUCUCCCACUUUCUCACCUGGCACAUUUCAGCGAGGCUUCCGACCCCAGGGUCUUGGCUCUCACCUGCCCGUCCUCCUGUGCUCUUCCCCUCCCCUCCCCAGUCACGCUCCCGAAGUAACAAGCGCUGGUUUGUUGCCCGUGAAACGGACAAGGCUCCUGUACACUAGGGACUCUUUCCAGCUCACAACAGCUUCUGAGAGGCAGGAAGCGAUUCCUAAAUUUUUUGUUUUUGUUUCUGCCUUUUUCCAGGAGGAAACGGAGUCUUGGCAGAACGAUUAAUUUUUCCCAGGCGAGCGGACCCGUAGCUCAGUCGUAGAGGUGGGAUCCUACCCAGCUCUGUCCUUUCCGAGCCCGCCUUCUUUCCACGGGGCGGCUGGAUUGUCCCCGAACUCCUCCUCCCACGUUCUGGCUGUGCACACAGCAAUCACCGAAGCUGGAGUGCUUGUACACACGGAGACUGCCCGGAACGGUACCGGAGAUCCUUGUGGCUCUCACGUGCCUCCGUCCUGAUUCCCGAGGAUGGCCACCGCAGCUGGCCGGUGGGAGUCCCUGCCGGCACCGGCUAGGUAAUCGUGCAAAACGAAAGGUGGGCCCCAGGUUCAAAAAUAAUGAAGAUUUUCAAGAUGGCACAGCAGACCAGUAGUGGGGCCCUUCUGAGUGUGGGGGGCUGUGUCGCGGCACGGAUCUCACGCCGCUAAGGCUAGCUCUGCUUCCUGGUUUGCUUCUUCAGUGCAUUCCCCAAAUAUGUUCAGGUCUUUAACUGUGUACAAAAAGCCAGCCUCAGGGCGCCUGGGUGGCUCAGUGGGCUAAAGCCUCUGCCUUCGGCUUGGGUCAUGGUCUCAGGGUCCUGGGAUCGAGCCCCACAUCGGGCUCUCUGCUCAGCGGGGAGCCUGCUUCCUCCUCUCUCCCUCUCUGCCUGCCUCUCUGCCUACUUGUGAUCUCUGUCUGUCCAAUAGAUAAAUAAAAUGUUUAAAAAAAAAAAAGCCCGCCUCCUCACAUGCCAUUCUGCAAGCGGCAUCUGCUUUUUUAUUGAUGAAGAAUGACACACAUUGCUGUGAACCAGGCACGUGGCCGGCCUGUCUCCUUUUCAGUGCUCUGAGGUAGGGAUCCCAGGUUAGGGACCAAACGUCCUUGUCCCCCUUACACAGCUGAAGGAACGGAGGCACAAGAGGAAGAGCAGGUCGUCCAGGGCCGCGGUGUGAAGGGCGGACAGCGGAGGUUUGCUCUGGGGUUUGUCUCGCUGACCUACCUCUACCUGAUUUCUCCAGAGGCAGACCGUGGGUGGUGGGGCGACGUCCGUCCAGGUCGGCACGUGCAGAGCUCUCUCUCCUUGCGGCCAGCAGCCGUCGGAUGCUUCACCUGCUGGAGAGAUGCCGUCUUUAUUUCAUCGGUUUCUCAUGACCAAGCUGCCUUUCUGGGGAGAGGGUGUUUCCACGUGGGGGGUUGAGGGUUUGCGGUCCGAGCUGAGUCCCAGCCAGUGGCAAUGUCCAGUCCUCAGGAGAAGGAGAGGGCAGCGCCAGGGGAACGUUGCACCAGGAACGUGCAGGCGGAGGAUAAGAGCGUGGACGGAGCAGGUGUGCGCAGUCAGGCAGGUGCCGGGAGUGGGGGGUGGGGGAGGGAGGAGCCCUCAGCAGGGGGCUGGCUCUGGGCUGGGGGGCCAGUGCCGGUGGCCUGACAAGGUCACAGGAGCUCUGGGCCUCACCUCCACAGCCGGUGAGAGAGAAAACCAGCUCAAGUGCAGGGACAGCUGCGUCCAUACGGACACGGGGAAGGUCCGGGUUAGACCCCAGCAGCCGCAGUAACAAGGAGCCACAAGUGCAUGGCUUGAAACCAUACACGUGCCCCAUGUGACAGUCCCUCAGGUCAGAUGUGUCACAGGGCUCUCACAGGGCUCAGCUCAGUCCAGGAGUUGGGGCUGCAUUCCUUCUGGAGGACACGGGAGAAUCCAUUCCUGGCCCUUGCCAGCUGCUCAGACAGGCCCACGCGCCUUGGCUUGUGACCCUUCUGCAUCUUCAUGGCCAGCAGCGCAGCACCUCCGACCUCUACGAGUCCAGCGGCUCCAGGAAUUAGGGUGCAGACAUCUUCGGGGGCCGUGCAUUAUUCUGCCUGCCACCACGUCCCUUUAAUUAAGUUGGGGGCCACGCAUCUGAGACAAUGAUAGGUUUUUUUUUUUUAAUAUUUUACUUAUUUAUUUGACAGACAGAGAUCACAGGUAGGCAGAGAGGCAGGCAGAGAGAGGAAGGGAAGCAGGCUCCCUGCUGAGCAGAGAGCCCGAUUUGGGGCUCGAUCCCAGGACCCUGGGAUCAUGACCUGAGCCGAAGGCAGAGGCUUUAACCCACUGAGCC